UGGCUCAGGAUGAACGCUAGCGACAGGCCUAACACAUGCAAGUCGAGGGGCAUCGGGGCGAGGAGCAAUCCUUGCCGCCGGCGACCGGCGCACGGGUGAGUAACGCGUAUGCGACCUGCCCGUUGCAGGGGGAUAAUCGGGAGAAAUCCCGUCUAAUACCGCGUAACGCCGCGGGGCUGCAUGGCCCUGCGGCCAAAGGGAGCGAUUCCGGCAACGGAUGGGCAUGCGUGACAUUAGCUAGUUGGCGGGGCAACGGCCCACCAAGGCGACGAUGUCUAGGGGUUCUGAGAGGAAGGUCCCCCACACUGGUACUGAGACACGGACCAGACUCCUACGGGAGGCAGCAGUGAGGAAUAUUGGUCAAUGGGCGCGAGCCUGAACCAGCCAAGUCGCGUGAGGGAUGACGGCCCUACGGGUUGUAAACCUCUUUUGUCGGGGAGCAAAUUCCGCCACGUGUGGCGGAGUCGAGAGUACCCGAAGAAAAAGCAUCGGCUAACUCCGUGCCAGCAGCCGCGGUAAUACGGAGGAUGCGAGCGUUAUCCGGAUUUAUUGGGUUUAAAGGGUGCGUAGGCGGACUGUCAAGUCAGCGGUAAAAUACGGGGGCUCAACCUCCGCCCGCCGUUGAAACUGACGGUCUUGAGUGGGCGAGAAGUAUGCGGAAUGCGUGGUGUAGCGGUGAAAUGCAUAGAUAUCACGCAGAACUCCGAUUGCGAAGGCAGCAUACCGGCGUCCAACUGACGCUGAAGCACGAAAGCGUGGGUAUCGAACAGGAUUAGAUACCCUGGUAGUCCACGCAGUAAACGAUGAAUACUAGCUGUCCGGGGCGAAUGAGCCCUGGGUGGCACAGCGAAAGCGUUAAGUAUUCCACCUGGGGAGUACGCCGGCAACGGUGAAACUCAAAGGAAUUGACGGGGGCCCGCACAAGCGGAGGAACAUGUGGUUUAAUUCGAUGAUACGCGAGGAACCUUACCCGGGCUCAAACGACACAGGAACGUACCUGAAAGGGUUCGGCUCUACGGAGCCUGUGUCGAGGUGCUGCAUGGUUGUCGUCAGCUCGUGCCGUGAGGUGUCGGCUUAAGUGCCAUAACGAGCGCAACCCCCAUCGACAGUUGCUAACAGGUUAGGCUGAGGACUCUGUCGAGACUGCCGGCGCAAGCUGCGAGGAAGGCGGGGAUGACGUCAAAUCAGCACGGCCCUUACGUCCGGGGCGACACACGUGUUACAAUGGCAGGUACAGCGGGAAGCCACCUGGCGACAGGGAGCGGAACCCGAAAGCCUGUCUCAGUUCGGAUUGGAGUCUGCAACCCGACUCCAUGAAGCUGGAUUCGCUAGUAAUCGCGCAUCAGCCACGGCGCGGUGAAUACGUUCCCGGGCCUUGUACACACCGCCCGUCAAGCCAUGGAAGCCGGGGGUGCCUGAAGUGCGCUGCCGCGAGGAGCGCCCUAGGGUAAAACCGGUGACUGGGGCUAAGUCGUAACAAGGUA
rnacentral:rRNA from 1 species